CAAAGUACUUUGAAAAGAGAGUGCAAGAGAACGUGAAACCGACAUAAUGGAAGCGGAUGGAGCCGACGUAUCGUGCUUGUAUUCAAUUGCACACGGUUGCAUUCCUCUGGUUUGGCAUUCCGCAAGGUUGUCGAUUGGAUGUGUUUGUUGCUUGGUGUAAUGCUUUUGCAAGCGGAGUGCAUCGAGUGGGUUGAUUGCGCUGUUGGAAAUCAGUUUAGAGGACUUUCCUUCGGGUUAGAACCCUGGAUUGGUGGAUAGCAGAUGUGGUUGACUUGUUGUCAAAGGCUGGUGAAUUCGCGGUUCACGCUGAGGAUGUUGGCUACUAGUAGGGAACACAUGUGCUCUUUGCUCUUAGUUGAUGUCUUUGGUGUGUACUGCCCGUGCCUUCGACUCGAUGUUCAGUUGGUCACCCAUCCGACCCGUCUUGAAACACGGACCAAGGAGUUUACGGUGUACGCAAGUCAUUGGGCUAUCGAAACCCAAAGGCGUAAUGAAAGUGAGACAUUUAUUGUCUGUGAUGUGAACAAUUGUUGUUUCGAUGACUUUUGUGCAACAUCGCCCCAUGACUAGGGCUUGCUCUGUUGUGGAGGUCGAGCGUACGCUGUGAGACCCGAAAGAUGGUGAACUAUGCCCGAACAGGAUGAAGCCAGAGGAAACUCUGGUGGAAGUCCGAAGCGGUUCUGACGUGCAAAUCGAUCGUCUGAUUUGGGUAUAGGGGCGCAAGACUAAUCGAA
rnacentral:rRNA from 1 species